rnacentral:rRNA from 1 species
UACGGGGGGGGCAAGCGUUGUUCGGAAUUACUGGGCGUAAAGGGCGCGUAGGCGGCUUUUCAAGUCGGGCGUGAAAUCUCCGGGCUUAACCCGGAAGGGUCGUUCGAUACUGUUGAGCUAGAGUGUGGAAGAGGCAACUAGAAUUCCGUGUGUAGCGGUGAAAUGCGUAGAUAUACGGAGGAAUACCUGAGGCGAAGGCGGGUUGCUGGGCCAACACUGACGCUGAAGUGCGAAGGCCAGGGGAGCAAACGGG